GCUUGGGGGGGAGGGGGGGGGGCGUGUCUGUGGGAGCCAUGUCUGUGGGUUUAGGGGAGUCAUUUCGAGUUCGAGCCGCUUCUUGCCGUCAGAACCAAGACAGAGAAAUGUGGCUGUUCUGAAGCAGCUGAGCUGGGGGGCUCUGACUGGACUGUAGUUCGGGCAGCCCUCAUUAACUAUAAAUUUGGCCUCCAAACAGGAUCUCUGAGAAACUUGGGCAUCUUCCCCUUUGCAGUAGUUGUUAUUUACGUGUAUGUUGCUGUGUAGGCUGACCUAAAACUUCUUUUCUUCUUUGUUUCUUCUGCAUGGAAGCAUAAGAUGGAGAAACCCGAUGUGAUGGGACUGUGCAGUGUGAUUGUGAAAAGCAUUGGGUGAAUUCUGUAGAAGGAAUAAAAAUAAGGAGUUUCUGCAGAGUUUCUUUCAAAGCCAUGGCGGGGGGAAUCUGCUUUCUCUGGUUUUAAGUCAGCUUUGUGCAGUGAAGCUCGCAGACUGCAGCAGUGGCAUGGAAUUAUUUCAGUUUGUGAUGAAAUGGGGUCUGAAUGCGCUAUAGGUUUUAUAACUUUAGAUCUUCCUGUUGAGGAAAUAGCACCAAUAAGGGGCUGCAGCAUAAAUCUCAUGAGAGCUUUGGGAGCCUGAGGCCCUGAGGGUCCCAAAGUCCAAACAGACUCAGUGGUAGAAGGAGUUUUCUCUGAGGAAGGAAAGUGUGGGGCUUCAUCCCAGCACAGGGAGCUUUUCUACCUGUUUGUGAUCGUACUGCAUGAGCAUUAGUUAUGUUUCCAGACGCAGUUGGAAACGCCAGCAUUACCCAGAGACAAAGGCAAUCAAUCCCAGCUGUCUUUUCCCUGUGAACUAGAACCAAGAAAAAGGCUGGCUGUUCAUGUCAGCUUUUGAAAGACAGUUUUAUCAUGAGUGUUUACGAUAAGCGUUUCCUCUUCUGAUACAGAAAAUACAGUGAAGUUGUGAAUUCAUUUCAAUAAGUUUGCCCUUAGUAAGGAAGGAAUGUGUCAGGAAAAAGGAGAAAAGAACUCAAGAUCUUCCCAAAAAUCACAUUCUGAAAGGUUUGAUGAUAAUGCGUGUUUGUGGCUUCAGGAGGUUUGCUUGUUUAUUUUUACAGGGAACAGUCUGUCACCAGACCAGCAGGGCUGGCAGAGCUGGUUGAAGCCAAGUGCCCUGCAGUGACUGUUUGUGUAGUGAGUUGUAGAGUAAAGGCUUUGACUGGAGCUGCAAUUAGGGAAAGAAAUUCAUUGGGCUGAGCCUUGACUUUGUUGCUUUGAUUGUGAUUCUGUUUUCUUAGGUUAACCUAGUGUAAUUAGUGACAAUUCCACUGCUGAUUUAGACCUGGUUGGCACCUGGCACCCUCGGUGGUAGUUAGGUGACUGGCUCACAUUGACAUGACUUUGUUCGCAAGAACAUGAGAGGGGAAUCUCCCGGAGCAAGGACUUGCUUUGGAGACCAUGCAGGCCUGACUGGUAGAGGUCAGCAUCCGUCUUCAAAGAUAUGCCCCUUGUUUGUAUUAGCACUCAGUCUCCUCUUCCUCACAAUGCCAGACCAGAAUUGCAAAAGGCUGGGAUCCUUUUAGCAUUUUAACACUUCCUUGACAAACAUCUUGCUGUUUUGUCUACCCUCCCGAGGUGUAAAAGCUCUUUUUGGAGAGGAAAGAAAUCACCACACUCAAGGAACUAUUUGCGCUUUUGUUUGGUGACAUCUGCUUUACUGCAGGCAUCACUGAGUGCAGAUCUACAGCCUUUUAACCCUGUUCUCUAGGCAGCAAUUUUGUGCUCUAGUUCUUCUAGGCUCUUAUUCCUCACCUUUCUUCAAGGAAUAUUGUAUGUAGCUUCUCUCUUAAGAAAAGCUUUGGUUGCUUACCUUAAAAGGAAAGAUCUGUGCAGAGAUCCCCACAGGGUAACAAAAACAUUCACUGGGGAAAGCAUCCUUGAACUGGUAUGAAUGGAAAGCUCCCAAUUUCACUGUGCCUUUGGCUGGAAAAUGUAAAAUGUUCCAAGGGUUGGGGCAUGAUUAGCGAUUUUCUUGUCUCAGCCUCUGGUGCAGGAGUGCAGACUCUCCUUUUCACACUCUGCUUUCAUAGGCUGGGUUUGUAGGAGUGAAUGAAAACAGACUGGGUUGUAAGAGAAGGAAAUGGAAAAAGACUGGUGUCUUGGGGCUUUGCCAUUCUCUGCCCCUGCAGAUCAGUCAUCCACGUCCCUUCCAGGCAGUGAACCCAAGAAGAUGGGUCUUGAUUUCUGCACCAGUUAUAGUUCUGGUUCAGAACUGGGCUCCGACUUAAGGCCAUCAGACUCUUGAUGGUCUCGGUUCCUCUCGGGGAGGGUUUUGCUCUGGCUCAGUUCACUGCGCUCACAAGUUUUUGCACCACCAAAGUCUUUUUUUUCUUUAAGCUAGUUUCUAGAAAGUUUGGUUCCUGUUCUUUAUAAUUACUGUCUUCUCCAGACCCUGCACUGCAGUAUUUCCAAGCGCAGUGUGAAAAUGGUGCAGACUUAGUGAGACUGCAUUUCUGAGGUAUUAUUGUGCGGCAAAUCCCUGAUCUUUGCAGCUAACCCAAAAGCUGGGGAAGAGGGAGCAAUAUCCUCUCCUCCUGCAGCUAAAGAUCCUCAAACGUACACCACAGCCAUUUUAAUCGAGUUCAGUGCUUUCAGAGGAGAUAAGGCUGUUUUGUCACACAGAAAUAGAGAUAUGGCAAAGCUGAGGUACCAUUUCCAUUGCUUUAAUUGCUGACUGGGCAGCUCGGGUCUGGCGUAUUGAAAUAUCUCCUCCCUGCAGCUUUGCUGAUCUCGGGAUAUCCAACCCUGUCCUUCCCUGCUGCCUUGCUUCUUUGCUUUACGCUGGUAAAGGCAGGUAAGGGCUGAGGGCUGAGUGUUGGGCAACAGGCACAUCUGCAGAGAAGUGCAUUGCUUUCCCCUCUUCUGCUUUUUGGUGGGUUAGGAAAGAGUUAAAUGACAACAGAGGGAGAGGCUGUGCUAUUGUUCAGGCAUCGCUGGGCCCAGGGUGGCUGAUCUCUAUUCCCGGAUCUGCCUCUGGUUUCCUGCAUGACCUUGGGCCGGUCACUUACCUUUUCUUUCUCCCAAAUUACAACAUGGAAAUCGUUCUCUUCCUUUGGUGCCUCUUCCCCUGCGGGUUUCAGGGUGGCUGUGGUCCACCGGUGGGAGAUGAUGGGAGGAGGAGAACACAUUUCCACUGGAGAAAUAUUUACACAGAGGAUAGCAGGUUUUGGUCAUGUUCUCUCGGAUGCAGCGUGGGCUGAGCAUAUGGUGAUAUUUCGGUUUUUUUUUAGUAGGCAAACCUGUGGUGAAAACCGAAUUCCGUUUGUUGUUGAUGCAGCUGCCCGAGAGCAAUGCCAGCUGCAGUGAUCCCUUCCUUCACUAGAUGGUGCUUUUGAUCAAAGAUUCGAAUCACCGCAGUUCCUUUCCAUACAGAAUUGCCUAAUUUUUCUUUCCCAAUCUCCAUUCCUUCCCCUCUUUUCUUUCUGUGCUUUAACACUAUGGGGGACACUUAAUGAUGCUGGAUACUGAGCAAGGCUAAGCUGGUGGUAAUGCAGGCUCCAAGCUGCCCGCACGCGCCAGCCAGUUUAUCUUCUGGGCUUUGGUUUGUGAAGUGUGUGUCAGUGCUGCUGGGCUGUGGCAGAGAAUUGAAUUCUUUCCAUGUUUUCUAUUCCAUAAGGAAAAGGCUUCAAAGAGCGAGUCCCCUCCCCCUCUCUGCUGGUGAAGGGCUUUUAGGGAAGCUGGGGAAAAAAAAAAAAGCCAGCUCUGACAGAGGGAUUUAUUUAACAAACCACUGCCUUUCCCUGCCUUAGCAGAAGAUUGGCUGGGUUUUUAUUUGAAAAGGAAUCGCUGCAUUGAUAUCCAUCUUUGUAUUCAGGAGAUGGUUACCCAGCCAAGGUCACUGCUGCUGCACGCCCGUAUCGCACAGCGAGCCAGCCUCCUCUUCCUUGAAUGAGCAUUGAUUUUGGAAAGGCUUCCCCAGGUAAAUAAUGGGAAUAGGCUUGAAUCUGCCAGUGCAGGGUCCUGAGCCACUGGGUAGAGGAAGCCGGGAGCACAGCUCUCCCUUUUAUAGAGGCAGCAGAGGAGAUGGAUGAAAUUGUAAUCAAACAUUUCCUGUACAGACACGCACAGGGAUGGGUUAUUAGCUCGCACAGCAGGGUGUGUGGUGGUGAGCUGUCAUCAUCCGUGACGGCGAGUGCAGGGCAAAGCGGGCUGCCUGCCCUCAGCCUGUACUGGCCCCUCCAAGGCUCUCACCUGCAGCCGUGCAGUUGGUUUGCGUCCAUGCACUUGCACGGCUCCCCUGCAGCCCUGCCCUCGUGCCAGGCUGCCUCGCAUGCCUGCAGCCAGAUGCUCCCAUCAGGGAGGCUGCAAGGUUGCAUCACGUACAGCUCCCUCCCUGUGGAAUUGUACAAACAUUAAUGAAUGGGGCUGGAUUGCUGCUAUGACACCAAUCAGCCAUGCACAGAUUUAUUGUCUGAGGCCAGGAGAGUUUAUCCUUCUGCCUCUGACACCGCACCAAUGACGGCGAUUCCGUGCGUGUGUGACAAGUCCACAAGGCCGGUGCCCGCAGCAGCCCCGAGCUCACGUGCUGGAUGUUACGCUCAUGGCAGUGACGUCCCCACAGCAGGGGCAGGAGCGAUGCUGAACUGCGGUGUGGCACAAACUCCUCUCAGGACUGGGAGCUGACAGUGAUUUCUUUGUCGUUCCCCUGCUGUCAUCUUCCCACUGCACAUGCAUUUGUUCAUCGUUAGUAAGAUACUGCUGAUGACUAAGCCCUGGGUCUGCAGCACAGAGAAACCGUUUGAAGGAGCAGCCCAGAAUGCAGGGUUCAGCCUCGUGAGAAGUGGGAACAAUGCAUUUUCUCACAUUAUUAGAUCUGGAGAGCAUCUUCCGGUCCCUCCUGGCUGAGAGGGAAUUGCAUCACUGGCAUGUGCAGAUAUUUUUCCUGAAAUCUGCUUGUUUUACUGUUUUUCAUCCGAUGGAAUUUGCCAGCGUGUCCCAAAUUAUGUGGUUCUGAAAUUUAAAAGCAACGUACCUGUGUGGGGGAGAGAAUGAGUGGUUUUGACUUGCAAUCUGGCUCUUCCCUCCCUCCUUCCCUCCCCCCUUCCUUUUCCCCACAUCCCCAUGUGUUAUAAAGCCAGCUGCUCCCGGAAUAGUUUGGGAAUGAAAUGCCACCGUUUGAAACUGGUGAGUCACACUUUUUGAAGGGGGGUGUGUGGUGAAUAUGAAAUCUUGUGGUGUGGCAGAGCUUCUCCUGGUGAGUACAGACGGAUAUUUAGAACCGCAGAUUCCCUGCUGAUGGAAUUGAGGGGCUUUGAAUAAUGGCUGCUGGGUGUGUCCGUGCUGCUUUUUGCAGGAGGAUCUCAAAAACCCUCUGCAAACUUUGUCUUCCUUCGUGUCCCCACUGCAGCUGCAUCCCAGUGUCUCCUCCAAAGGACUCACUUGUAUCUGUCUGACAACGCACCUACAGCGACUCUCUUAAUUAAGUCUCCCUGCGCUGCUGUGAGGUGUGUAAUUACAGUGAGCCCUGACUUCAGCAACUGCUCGAGGGACUAACAAAAAAAUUCUUUACCAGAGCAGGAAAGAACAGAAUUCUACUGAAUACAUUUUUUGGGAUAUUUUAAGGGACUUUUAUUAAACAAAGGGGUUCAGUUAUUCUGGUUCCUUCUCAGUGUAUCCCAAUAUUAGGAUGAUGUCUUUAAUAUACUGGGUGCUAACAUAAUCAUAAUCCUUCCGAAAGGAUACUUGAGAUCUUUUAACAGAGACUGCUGUAAAAAACUGUCAAUUAGUGCAAACGGUGGCAAUGGUCUUGCAAAAUGAACUGUUGUUUAUCAGAAGCUGAGCAGCUGUCCCUCCCUGCCCAAGCCCUGCCCAGUGGUAAAUGUAUUUAGUGGAAGGGCAACACUGAGGAUUGCUGUUCUAGAGUAUCAGACCCACCCAUAUUCUCAACUCUGGCAGGUGCUAGGAAUGGUGCAUUUCUAACUGAAGUGGUAGCUGCGACGCUAAUGGUGUCUCCCAAAGAGCUCUAGUAGUUCCAGGCAGACUGAUUUUUGCUGUGGCUGCUGCCCGCUGUCAGAUGUCUCUGCCUGGUGCCCGUAGUGUGGGCUGGACUGUGCAUCUCCAUUCCCAGCCCAGUCCAGUCAUCUAACUCUUGCAGGUCACGUUACUGGUCCAAGCACUGAACUGUGGUGGCUGUGGAGAAGAUGCGCCACCUAUUUGCAGCCUCUGCUUCAACAGUGAUGAUCUCCAGCUGAAGGAGAGGAAGAAGCUGGCAACUAAUACCAUAAAUCAUUCCCAUAUGGGCUGGCAGCUGUCCCCUUGAGUCCCACCUUCACUGGCAUUCUGAGUACACACUACUGUUUCCGUGGCGUGGCUGAAACCUUGGGUCUGCAAAGAGUCGAAUCAGAGGCACCACACAAGCAGGAAGUUGUGGUAGCAGCGUAGGAGCAAGUGAACCAAGGAACCAGGGUGUGACAGAUGCGAAGUGCUUGAGAGCAGAUUGAAAGUACUGCAGUUAGAAGAACUUCAAUGGGAUGGAACAAGAUGGAAGGAAGCUGGUUUUGCACAGGUGUGCGGGAUGAUAACUCACCAGUACCUGGAGCAAGGAACAACAGUGUCCAGAUCCUUGUCUACUGUAAGAAUAAAAGCCCCUCUGCUUCUUUUCAUCCUGUGGGCCAUGAACCUGUGGAAUUCUGUGCCCUAGUUUGAAGAGGUCUGUGAAGAUCACAAAGACAAGGGAGCUUAUUGUCAUUAGAUUUAUAUUAGCUAUAGAGGGGCCUGUGAUUCAAGGGAAGACUUCAGGAAUUAAUUACAAAGUUCUUAGUCGGUUCAAUCCAUUGAAAUCCACCUAUCUUUGUGCUCCUCAGACUGAAAAGCACUGUCUGGCAGGACCUGUGCAGCUGAACUAAUCCACUGUCACUGUAUAUUGUGGAUUCAAGCAGCCACUUUAUCCCCUGUACCAGGACUGAGCCAUGUGGAAACCUCUGAUCUCGCACCUACCAGAUGCUGUUACCAAUGGAUUGGACUGAAAACUACCCCUUUGUAUUGGAGAAGCUGGAGUAGGUGGGCCCAGGCAACCAGUUCAGUUUUGUAGCAAGGUCAGUACUUUGUCCCCAUGAUAAAUGAGCAGGCACAGGGCUCUUGGUAUAGACUAUGAGGUGUUUCAAGCAUUUCAGAUGAACUUGAUUGGCAACUAAGGGCAAUUGGCUUCUGCUGGAAUUGUGCAACGGACUCCACAAUAUCUCCAGAGGUUUAAGCCUUGUGGUCAGACAUACAACCUGAUGUGCGUUAAAGACUUUGACUUAAAGUAUCUGAGCGGAAGUUCAUAAUACUUAGAUGAAGAAAAAAAAAAAAAAAAAGGCUUGAGCUAGGGAGAAAAAAAAAACUAUUUAAAAAUAGAGUAAUAUUUAAAUGUUAAAAGCAUUCUGUUUAGGGUUUCAAAAGUUUUUCCAUGUGUGUUCCAUAAGUUCCUUCCAGUUAGAUUAUGGGAGAAUUUGUCUUUCUUACAGUGCCUAAAAAAAAUGCAGGAGAGGUACUGAGGAAUCUUCAUGUGUUGUGUAUUUGUUAUCAGCAUUGAGAGACCUUGUGCUUGCAGGAGCAAAUUGACUUCAAGAUGAGAAUAAGAUGCCGUGACUGGAUCAAGCAUUUCAGCCACAUGCAUGCAGGGUGACUUUUCUGUGUGGCUUACUAGAAGAUGAAAUGGGGUUCAAAUGGAGACCCGGGUCCAGGAGAAGCCAAAAAGGAGUGAGCAACUGAAGUCAGAGUGCCCACACCUUGCUUCUCUCCUCUUCUAUGUGCCUACCUAGGGGUCUGCUUUGAUUGCUCUGCCAGAAGCAGGAAGAUGCUUAAGGAAUACUGCUUUAUGGCGAUAUAUUCCUGAAUUCCUUUCUCAGCUAUACGAAGCAUUUCCAGAAUUAAGAACUUUGCCAGCUAUACAGUCCUUGAGUUCCAAAUGAGCAAGCAACGCAAGCUCCUGGAUAGCCCCCUUCAAAUCCAUUCCUGGAAACACGGUCUUCAGUCUCUUGUAGGUUCAGAGUUAAGACAGCUUCAACUGUAAUGCAGCUUUUUGUGAAGAAUCCUAGCUAAAUCCUUGAUGUUGCUCACACAGUUCAUGUAAGGGAAAGGUUCGUGUUUACCUGAGAAUUAAACUGGAUGUUCUACACAUUUUAGGUGAAAAAGCAUGCCCAAAUGGUAAAGUAAUAAUUGAUUCAUGGCUAUACAGCAAAGUCUAGAAGUGCCACUUUGGGAUGACGUGGAUCGAGGAUACAGUUACUGUGCAUCUCCAUGUGAAGAACUCUGCUUCUUCCCAGCUGAGCUAUCAUGUAACGCAUACGACUCUCUGGAGAGAGUGUUUGCAGCACAUUUGCAGUAUGUUUUAGCUACUAUCAACAUUUAUAUUCCAUUGUCAUUCGGGGGUAAGCACUAAUUAGCAUAAUCAUCAAUGCUUUAAAAUUAAAAAUUCCUCCAAGAGACACAAGAGGGAUUGAAACUGUUUCUUGCCCCCAGAUGCAAAUCCUUUUCCCAAGCUAUCUGCUGCGCCAAAAGGCUUUAUUCUAGAACCAUUCCCAAUCUGUGCCCAAGAGUAAAUUAAACUACAGUGAACUUGUAAACUCGUGUGUGUGUACACCAAGCAAAUUCGACAGUUACUACGUGACAAAUUGUUGUCCCUGUUUUUCACUUCUAUUUUGUUUUGGCUGCUGCUGCUGCAUCACCUUUACUGCGUGGGCUGGGACUCCAAUUUCUACAUUCCUCCCGUUGAUAGCAGGUGUAGUCAAGGUCGGUGUCCUGCACAGGGGUUCCUUGUGUCCCAAAGAAUGCCUCUCACAUCCUCAGCAGGUCUGCAAGCGGUGGGCCAUGAAACCUCGGGGAGCAGGAAUGGUUCGAUGUUGUAAUUGUUCUUGAACCGGCCAGAGAGAAAAAAAUAAUGUUUUUUUUUCCUCAGGAAAUAUCUCUUUGAGAGGAAAAUGCUAACAAAUGCAGGUGUUUCUGAAUGAAAACAAUUAGGCUUAUAAGCUCACAAUUCUUGUCAUUUCUGCAUGAGACAAACACACCACACCCGACACUGAGUGAACUUGGGAACUCUGUGAGAAAAGAGUAACACAGGAAUCUCCAGGACAGUUUCUGAAUCUGCAGGGCAUGGAAUGUUGUGUUGUCUUUUUGCUAUCCAAUUUUUUCAGAUAUGGGCUUCAAUUUCAUUGGCAGAAAUUCUCUCUUUUAUCUUUAUCUCCUGUUUUGAUGUGGUAGCCAUGGAGAAGAGCCCAAGAUUAGUAACAGUAGGUUGUUGCAGAGUAAGAGUAAGUCUCUACUCAGAUUUAAACUGUAGUAAUACCGGGGAGUUGUUUAACUGGAAACAUUCAGAUCUUGUAGAAUAAAUACUGGAUGCUGUUAGGAUGUUAAUCACCCAUCCUGCUGAGGUCUAUCCUGAAAACAAUGGUUAGCUCCCCUGGAGGUCAAUGUGUUUGCACUUGGGCCCUUUGGCACUCGACUCUGUUUUGCUGAUAAGGAAAGAAAUGGGCCAUAUUCUGAAGCUGAGAUGCUAACAUAUGACUCUAACAGCAGUGUCUAGCAAUGGGCUACCAGAUUCCCUCUGGAAGCCAGUAAUGAGAAACUUCGGAGAGAGGAAAGGGGUGGUGAAUCUUUUCUCCGAGAACCUCAGAAGAGGCUGAAUGCCUUUGGUGGUGACCUGGGCUAAGAGACCAAGACUGUGAUAGAAACAAAGACCUCAUGCCUUGCUUGUGUUUGCUGUUGGCAAAGCAGGCAGUGGGUAGGAUUAGGGAAUGUUUAACUACAAAGUUUUAGUUUCCCAGUCCAUGCUGUCUGCUAUGUCCCUUGGUUUGCCUCUCCUCAGCAUCUCGGCACGUAGCCCCAUGCAUGUUUUGCAACUUUUCUUUAGAAAACUCCUUUGCAUUUUACAGCCACAUAGAAACCAGAGUUCCUGCAGCACAUUUAGGAAGAAAGGAAUUUAUGCUGCUUUUGCUGGGAUGACAUUCUGGGAUGAGAGAGGCACAUAGAGAUAAUAUCA